GUCGAGAAUAAUUCACAAUGGGGGAAACCCUGAUGGUGCAACGCCGCGUGGAGGAUGAAGGUCUUCGGAUUGUAAACUCCUGUCAUCCGGGAGCAAGACCUGGGCGUGAAUAGCGCACAGGUUUGGUAGUACCGGAAGAGGAAGGGACGGCUAACUUCGUGCCAGCAGCCGCGGUAAUACGAAGGUCCCAAGCGUUGUUCGGAAUCACUGGGCGUAAAGGGUGCGUAGGCGGCGUGGUAAGUCAGAUGUGAAAUCCCGGGGCUCAAGCUCGGAACUGCAUCCGAUACUGCCAUGCUUGAGGGCUGGAGAGGUAACUGGAAUUCUCGGUGUAGCAGUGAAAUGCGUGGAUAUCGAGAGGAACACUCGUGGCGAAGGCGAGUUACUGGACAGCAUCUGACGCUGAGGCACGAAGGCCAGGGGAGCGAAAGGGAUUAGAUACCCCUGUAGUCC
rnacentral:rRNA from 1 species